AGUGAACGCUGGCGGUAGGCCUAACACAUGCAAGUCGAACGGCAGCACAGUAAGAGCUUGCUCUUACGGGUGGCGAGUGGCGGACGGGUGAGGAAUACAUCGGAAUCUACUUUUUCGUGGGGGAUAACGUAGGGAAACUUACGCUAAUACCGCAUACGACCUACGGGUGAAAGCAGGGGAUCUUCGGACCUUGCGCGAUUGAAUGAGCCGAUGUCGGAUUAGCUAGUUGGCGGGGUAAAGGCCCACCAAGGCGACGAUCCGUAGCUGGUCUGAGAGGAUGAUCAGCGACACUGGAAGUGAGACACGGUCCAGACUCCUACGGGAGGCAGCAGUGGGGAAUAUUGGACAAUGGGCGCAAGCCUGGUCCAGCCAUACCGCGUGGGUGAAGAAGGCCUUCGGGUUGUAAAGCCCUUUUGUUGGGAAAGAAAAGCAGCAGGUUAAUACCCCGCUGUUCUGACGGUACCCAAAGAAUAAGCACCGGCUAACUUCGUG
rnacentral:rRNA from 1 species